rnacentral:rRNA from 1 species
GACGUAGGGCGCAAGCGUUUGUCCGGAUUUAUUGGGCGUAAAGAGCUCGUAGGCGGCUCGUUGCGUCGGCUGUGAAAACCCGCAGCUCAACUGUGGGCUUGCAGCCGAUACGGGCGGGCUGGAGUUCGGGUAGGGGAGACUGGAAUUCCUGGUGUAGCGGUGAAAUGCGCAGAUAUCAGGAGGAACACCGGUGGCGAAGGCGGGUCUCUGGGCCGAUGACUGACGUGAGGAGCGAAAGCGUGGGGAGCAAACAGG